UACGUAGGUGGCAAGCGUUGUCCGGAAUUAUUGGGCGUAAAGCGCGCGCAGGCGGUCCUUUAAGUCUGAUGUGAAAGCCCACGGCUCAACCGGGGAGGGCCAUUGGAAACUGGGAGGCUUGAGUAUAGGAGAGAAGAGUGGAAUUCCACGUGUAGCGGUGAAAUGCGUAGAUAUAGGAAGGAACACCAGUGGCGAAGGCGGCUUUCUGGUCUGUAACUGACGCUGAGGCGCGAAAGCGUGGGGAGCAAACAGG
rnacentral:misc_RNA from 1 species